rnacentral:rRNA from 1 species
UACGGAGGGUGCAAGCGUUAUCCGGAUUCACUGGGUUUAAAGGGUGCGUAGGUGGGCAGGUAAGUCAGUGGUGAAAUCUCCAAGCUUAACUUGGAAACUGCCGUUGAUACUAUCUGUCUUGAAUAUAGUGGAGGUGAGCGGAAUAUGUCAUGUAGCGGUGAAAUGCUUAGAUAUGACAUAGAACAUCGAUUGCGAAGGCAGCUCGCUACACUAUCAUUGACACUGAGGCACGAAAGCGUGGGGAUCAAACAGG